GAGUGGAAUGAAGAAAUAUUGAAUUGACAAUGAGUAUGUGUAAUCGUUGCUCUACUUGUUUGUGUUAAAUACUCGUUCUGUGCAGACUUUCAUGCGAUACACUGAUGGAUUUUUAGUCAGCACUGAGAGAAGAAUCAAGGCAGUCUCUUCUAAGGAUGAAAGAAGAAAAUUUCAUUGAGAGACUUAUGUACAGGUUCGUGGUGCCCUUAAAACUAUGGUACGUGCACUGACUCCUAUUUAUCAUGGAACAGGAUCAAGUAAUGAAGUUCAGCCAGCUUUGAUCAACACUGAUUUACUUUCUAGAAAAGCAGAAAGUGUCUCUCUUCUUCUAAUUUUGUUGGAAGAGGAUGAUUUCUAUGCACGAUAUUAUACUCUUCAAAUAUUGACUGCCCUUGUCACCCAUUCUCCAGAGGUUACAGGAAGCUAUAUUGGCAAUCCUUCGUGGUAUAACUCGGCUAAUGGACUUGCUUAUGGAUCGUCAAGUACAAAACUUGAAAGCUCCAUAGUCAUCUAAUUCAUCUUAUCAAUUACUUCUAACUACCUCCGUAAUUUUUGCUUUUCUGCGGGAAGAAAGCAUCAGAAAUGAAGAUAUUCAGGGUUUUCAAGUAUCCAGGAACGUGAAGAUCUGUUAUCAAGUACUACGAAGAAAGGCCAUUUGAAUCAGCAUCAAGAAAUGUAUAGGGCCAUUCAGGAACGUGACACAUUGUUUUUUUGGGUUAUGCAUGCAGAAUGAUACACAUUAUCUUUAUUGUUUUUUAUAUAGCUGUGAAAAUUGUGGAGGUGAUUUUAUUAAAUCAUGGGAUAGGCAUGAUUAU